CCCUACGGGGCGCAGCAGGCGCGAAAACUUUACAAUGCGGGAAACCGUGAUAAGGGAACUCUGAGUGCCCGUAAAAUCGGGCUGUCCAUCAGUUUAAAAAACUGGUGAAGAAAGGGCCGGGCAAGACCGGUGCCAGCCGCCGCGGUAAUACCGGCGGCUCGAGUGGUGGCCACUAUUACUGGGCUUAAAGCGUUCGUAGCUGGUUUGUUAGGUCUCUGGGGAAAUCUUCCGGCUUAGCCGGAAGGCGUCUCAGGGAUACUGGCAGACUAGGGACCGGGAGAGGUGAGAGGUACUCCAGGGGUAGGAGUGAAAUCCUGUAAUCC
rnacentral:rRNA from 1 species